rnacentral:pre_miRNA from 12 species
AGCUGUGCCGGGUAGAGAGGGCUGUGGGAGGGGGAGGUAAGAUUUCUCCACUAUUUACCACCUUUUCUACCCAGCACGGCU